AGUGAACGCUGGCGGUAGGCCUAACACAUGCAAGUCGAACGGCAGCACAGUAAGAGCUUGCUCUUACGGGUGGCGAGUGGCGGACGGGUGAGGAAUACAUCGGAAUCUACUUUUUCGUGGGGGAUAACGUAGGGAAACUUACGCUAAUACCGCAUACGACCUACGGGUGAAAGCAGGGGAUCUUCGGAACUUGCGCGAUUGAAUGAGCCGAUGUCGGAGUAGCUAGUUGGCGGGGUAAAGGCCCACCAAGGCGACGAUCCGUAGCUGGUCUGAGAGGAUGAUCAGCCACACUGGAACUGAGACACGGUCCAGACUCCUACGGGAGUCAGCAGUGUGUAAUAUUGGACAAUGGGCGCAAGCCUGAUCCAGCCAUACCGCGUGGGUGAAGAAGGCCUUCGGGUUGUAAAGCCCUUUUGUUGGGAAAGAAAAGCAGCAGGUUAAUACCCCGCUGUUCUGACGGUACCCAAAGAAUAAGCACCGGCUAACUUCGUG
rnacentral:rRNA from 1 species